AUGGCGUCGGAGGAGGAUGUGGCGGUGAAGGAGCCGCUGGAUCUCAUACGGCUCAGCCUCGACGAGCGCAUCUACGUCAAGCUCCGCUCCGACCGCGAGCUCCGCGGCAAGCUCCAUGCGUAUGAUCAACAUCUCAAUAUGAUACUUGGAGAUGUAGAAGAGAUAGUGACUUCCAUUGAAAUUGAUGAUGAGACUUACGAGGAGAUUGUUCGUACCAGCAAGCGCACCAUCCCCUACCUUUUUGUCCGAGGAGAUGGCGUGAUACUGGUUUCGCCGCCCUUGCGGACCGUCUGA
rnacentral:rRNA from 1 species